GAUCCUGACUCAGGAUGAACGCUAGCUACAGGCUUAACACAUGCAAGUCGAGGGGCAGCAUGAACUUAGCUUGCUAAGUUUGAUGGCGACCGGCGCACGGGUGAGUAACACGUAUCCAACCUGCCGAUGACUCGGGGAUAGCCUUUCGAAAGAAAGAUUAAUACCCGAUGGCAUAGUUCUUCCGCAUGGUAGAACUAUUAAAGAAUUUCGGUCAUCGACGGGGAUGCGUUCCAUUAGGUUGUUGGG
rnacentral:rRNA from 1 species